GCCUUCGUGGUGUAAUGGUCAGCACACUGAGCCGGUAUUUCAGAGGUCCGCGGUUCGAUUCCCGGCGAAGGUG
rfam:Stegodyphus mimosarum contig46864, whole genome shotgun sequence.